GACGAACGCUGGCGGCGUGCUUAACACAUGCAAGUCGAACGGUAAGGCCCUUCGGGGUACACGAGUGGCGAACGGGUGAGUAACACGUGGGUGAUCUGCCCUGCACUUCGGGAUAAGCCUGGGAAACUGGGUCUAAUACCGGAUAGGACCAUCCGCUUCACGGUGUUUGGUGGACAGCUUUUGCGGUGUGGGAUGGGCCCGUGGCCUAUCAGCUUGUUGGUGGGGUAAUGGCCUACCAAGGCGACGACGGGUAGCCGGCCUGAGAGGGUGACCGGCCACACUGGGACUGAGAUACGGCCCAGACUCCUACGGGAGGCAGGAGUGGGGAAUAUUGCACAAUGGGCGCAAGCCUGAUGCAGCGACGCCGCGUGAGGGAUGACGGCCUUCGGGUUGUAAACCUCUUUCAGUAGGGACGAAGCGCAAGUGACGGCACCUAUAGAAGAAGGACCGGCCAACUACGUGCCAGCAGCCGCCGUAA
rnacentral:rRNA from 1 species